UCUGAAAAGCGUGUUCUCAUGUCCUCACUCUAGCCUUUCAGGGAGGAAGAAUUGCUCUCAAGUCCCAUUUUACUAGUUUAAUCUGCCUGGUCAAACUGGGACAGGUCCUGGGCCUGGAAUGUAAAAGGCCAGGCUUUCCUGCAAAGAGCAGGUAACAUGGUGGCCGAUCCCGCCCACGAGCAUCCACAGAUGCUUCCUACAGGUGCUGGAAUGAAGAGCUGGAAGCAGCCCAGUGCUCAGGGAGUCAAGGCAUGGCUGGGUAAAUACAAAGGCAGCUACCACCCAGUGUGGGGCACCGCCAGUGGCAUUCCCAGGAGCCCCGGGAGCUGCAGGGGUCACGGGGGCAUCUGAGCCAGCAGUGCAGUGGCACAUGGGCAUCAGCCUGGAUCCCGUACCCUGGGACAGUCCUCUGCCUUGAGUCA
rnacentral:lncRNA from 1 species